rnacentral:rRNA from 1 species
AUUGAACGCUGGCGGCAGGCUUAACACAUGCAAGUCGAGCGGGGGGAGGUAGCUUGCUACCGGACCUAGCGGCGGACGGGUGAGUAAUGCUUAGGAAUCUGCCUAUUAGUGGGGGACAACAUCUCGAAAGGGAUGCUAAUACCGCAUACGUCCUACGGGAGAAAGCAGGGGAUCUUCGGACCUUGCGCUAAUAGAUGAGCCUACGUCGGAUUAGCUAGGUGGUGGGGUAAAGGCCUACCAAGGCGACGAUCUGUAGCGGGUCUGAGAGGAUGAUCCGCCACACUGGGACUGAGACACGGCCCAGACUCCUACGGGAGGCAGCAGUGGGGAAUAUUGGACAAUGGGGGGAACCCUGAUCCAGCCAUGCCGCGUGUGUGAAGAAGGCCUUAUGGUUGUAAAGCACUUUAAGCGAGGAGGAGGCUACUCUAGUUAAUACCUAGGGAUAGUGGACGUUACUCGCAGAAUAAGCACCGGCUAACUCUGUGCCAGCCGCCGCUGUAA